rnacentral:lncRNA from 1 species
GGUUGUCUAAAAUGGAUGUCGAUUCGGAGACAACGGAAGUCUUAAGACUUCCGUACUAAUAUCAAAUUGUCCAAUUUUGAUAGUAUCAAACCUUGCCAAACUACGUCCAAAGUAUUCUCGACGAGACUCCUCCGAUAUCUAAGUAUGGGUAUAAAAGAUUCAGACUUAAAUAUUUAUAUCGUAUUGAGGGAGAUAAAAAGAUCUACAAGAAUGUAUAUGUGCAACCCUUUUAUAAUGAGCUCCUAUUAUCAGUACCUCAAUGCGAUCGACGUCAAUUAUGGGAAAUGGGGAAUGUGUCAUGCCGCUCACGAACUUAACUGCAAUCCUCGUCGAAUAUG